rnacentral:ncRNA from 1 species
GAUAGAGGAGCACGAAACAGGAGUCCCCGCAUUGCGGAGCCGCCGGGCAGGCGGGAUGCGGCAAAAGGGUAUUCGUGCCGAAGGCGGCGCCACUGCCACAACGCCGGCCUGGGCGCAAGGGACAAUACUCUUGCGACUGUCAUACCCUGUAAGGUAUGGAGCGCUAUCGA